rnacentral:rRNA from 1 species
UACGUAGGGGGCGAGCGUUGCUCGGAAUUACUGGGCGUAAAGGGAGUGCAGGCGGCCGGUUAAGUCGAAGAUGAAAUCCCGAGGCUCAACUUCGGAACGGUCUUCGAUACUGAUCGGCUUGAGGCUGGUUGAGGAGAGCGGAAUUCCCGGUGGAGCGGUGAAAUGCGUAGAUAUCGGGAGGAACACCAGAGGCGAAGGCGGCUCUCUAAACUAGUCCUGACGCUGAGACUCGAAAGCUAGGGGAGCAAACGGG